rnacentral:tRNA from 1 species
ACAGUGGUGGUUCAGUGGUAGAAUUCUUGCCUUCCAUGCAGGAGACCCAGGUUCAGUUCCCGGCCAAUGUA